GUCUGGGAUAGCUCAGUCAGUACAGCAUGUGACUCUUAAUCUCUGCGUUGUGGGUUCGAGCCCCACAUUGGGCA